rnacentral:rRNA from 1 species
CCUACGGGUGGCUGCAGUGGGGAAUAUUGCACAAUGGGGGGAACCCUGAUGCAGCGACGCCGCGUGAGUGAAGAAGUAUUUCGGUAUGUAAAGCUCUAUCAGCAGGGAAGUAAAUGACGGUACCUGACUAAGAAGCCCCGGCUAACUACGUGCCAGCAGCCGCGGUAAUACGUAGGGGGCAAGCGUUAUCCGGAUUUACUGGGUGUAAAGGGAGCGCAGACGGCUGUGCAAGUCUGGAGUGAAAGGCGGGGGCGCAACCCCCGGACUGCUCUGGAAACUGUAAAGCUGGAGUGUAGGAGAGGUAAGCGGAAUUCCUAGUGUAGCGGUGAAAUGCGUAGAUAUUAGGAGGAACACCAGUGGCGAAGGCGGCUUACUGGACUGCAACUGACGUUGAGGCUCGAAAGCGUGGGGAGCAAACAGGAUUAGAUACCCCAGUAGUC